CUCUUCCGCUCCAUCGCCAUGGCGGAGAUCAGCGAGUCGCUUCUGUCGGUGUCGCCGGCCUCGGCGCCCACAAGGACGGCUGUGAUUCCCCUUCGCGACUCGGUGGGUCUGUUUCGGUGACGUCUGUGGUGGCUGACGAAACAUGCUUUGACAGGGAGCGAGCGAGGAACCAUGACUACAACUCCCAGAAGGCCCCACUGAUGACGUUGUGGUGUUUCAGGCUUUCCCACCACAGACGGAAGGCUCAAUGGUCUAUAAUUAUCCAGACUAUCCCUACUACCAUUUAUGAACAAGGGGACAACAUUCGCCUCCCUCCAAUCCUCCGGUACCAUUCCCGUGGACAAUGAGGACAUAAUGAUCCUAGCCUGGGGCUCAGCAAUCUAUUUCCUUGCCUCGGAUGCAGAACUGUGAAGUGACAGAUGAAGAGAUUCAUUUCUGCAGGUCAAAUUUGAACACAGAAUAUAAUAUUAAUGAGACCUGGUUGACGGAGGAGACAGCGGACCACGCCAUCGAACCGUCUGGGUUCUCCCUGUUCCCUGUGGACAGGUGGAAACCCCUCACUGGGAAGAGUAAAGGAGGUGGUGUAUGCUUCAUGGUCAACAAUGCUUGGUGCAGACCCCAAUGCAUGUGCUCCAAUCCUUUGUUGCCCAGAUGUGGAGCAGCUGUUUAGACCCUACUGGCUGCCCAGGGAGUUCACGGUGUUAUCAUCACAGCAGUGUACAUUCCGCCCCAGGCUGAUACUGACCUGGCUCUCAAGGAACUGUACGAAACCCUCAACACGCUGAAGACUGCCCACCCAGAGGCUGCCUUCAUUGUUGCCCUGACUUUAAUCCAGCAUCGCAGACUGAAGUCCCUCCGAAGUGUUGUCAGCACAUCCAGGUGAGCGUUUGGGGAGCUGGCACUCUCGGCCUUUCCAUAACGCUUACAAAGUGCUCCUCCGACCACACUUCAACAAUCAGAUCACUCUCUGAUCCGGCUUCUGCUGAUGUACAGGCAACAGCUGAAACAAGAGGCGGCCAUGGGUGAUCCAUCCACUAUUGGUCCAACCAAUCGGUCUUCAUGCUACAGGACUGCUUGGAUGACAUCAAUUGGAUUGUCUUCCAUGAUGAGGAUGUGACCAAGUUCACGAUGGGGUCACGUGCUUCAUCUGAAAGUGCAUCGAGAAUGUUCUUCUCCAGAAAUCGGUCAAUGUCGUUUCUUUAUCGUUACCUAUAAUGUGGGCACAAAAACAGCCACACCAACAAUCCCAGUUAAAUUAGAUUUUGAUCCUUCUGUAAAACGGUUAAUAUAUAUCAAUAAAUUUCCUUAAUAUACCAAUAAUCUAACAGAUUCUCAGGCCUAACAACAUCCUGAGACUUUAUUAAAUCGUGUAUCCCAAAAUCAAUAAAGGCAUUUAAAAAACAAGUUGGGGUUACCCGGAAUGCCACAGUGGAACAUAUUGCAUAAUUCAACGAACCCACAUUCCCAGCGUAAUAAGAACCCAAGCACCCAAAACUAUAACACUCUUCUUGUGAUGUUCCCAACAGUCCUCCGACACACCUCCAACAGGAUGAUCAUUUCUUUGCUCUUUCAAAUUAAUCCAGUACGUUAACAUUAAAUUCAAUCUCUGCAAAAUCAUUCAGUAAACCUGAAACAGGAGACGGCCUUACUGCAUCAUAACAAAAUCUUAAAGCCUGUGCUUGUCUCACAGCCAAACAUUUGAAAGUUGGAGAUGAGGCUGAUCCAUGAGCCACAGAAUCAAGACAAGAUCUAAUGAAACAAAUGUAAAUGGUCAGCAGAGAUUUUCAUGUCGCUCCUGAAGAAUAUCCACAGAGACACAGUGAAUAUUUAUUGCUCCUUUAUAUUUAUCAAUUACUAUACUGAAACGGUGGUUCCAUGUCAGCUCAUUGUGCAUCCACCUGCCUGGAAAUCUCACCACUGACACGUCUUCAAGAGUUUGGUCAGAUGAUUUCAAAUCAGGUGCAGGUCUAUUAAUACUGUUUAUAAAACACGUGACUUGUGUUUUUUGCCACUGAAACCUCGAAUCCAUACACCUCCAUCAUCUGCAAAUACUGAUUUACCCACCCCUGCACCUAUCGCAGAGAAAAUAUUAUUAAUUAUAAUAAGAAAUAAUAAAUACUACUUGUGGGACCCCAAUCUCUAUCUCAGAAACCCGUGU